rnacentral:tRNA from 4 species
GCGGUCGUGGCGGAACGGCAGACGCGCUAGGUUGAGGGCCUAGUGGGGGAAACCCCGUGGAGGUUCAAGUCCUCUCGGCCGCAUCAAAA